rnacentral:rRNA from 1 species
AUGCCCUAGUAACGGCGAGUGAAGCGGCAACAGCUCAAAUUUGAAAUCUGGCCCUCGGGUCCGAGUUGUAAUUUGUAGAGGAUGAUUUUGGUUAGGUACCUUCCGAGUUCCUUGGAACAGGACGCCUUAGAGGGUGAGAGCCCCGUACGGUUGGAUGCCGAGCCUCUGUAAAUCUCCUUCGACGAGUCGAGUAGUUUGGGAAUGCUGCUCUAAAUGGGAGGUAAAUUUCUUCUAAAGCUAAAUACCGGCCAGAGACCGAUAGCGCACAAGUAGAGUGAUCGAAAGAUGAAAAGCACUUUGAAAAGAGGGUUAAAUAGUACGUGAAAUUGUUGAAAGGGAAGGGCUUGUGACCAGACCUUUGCCUUGCGGAUCAUCCGGUGUUCUCACCGGUGCACUCCGCUUGGUUGAGGCCAGCAUCAGUUUCGGCGGCGGGAUAAAGACUUCAGGAACGUGACUCCCCCGGGAGUGUUAUAGCCUGCUGUGUAAUACCGCCGCUGGGACUGAGGACCGCGCUUCGGCUAGGAUGCUGGCAUAAUGGUCAUCAGCCACCCGUCUUGAAACACGGACCAAGGAGUCGAACAUUUAUGCGAGUUUUUGGGUGUUAAACCCUCAAGCGUAAUGAAAGUGAACGGAGGUGAGAGCCCUUACGGGUGCAUCAUCGACCGAUCCUGAUGUCUUCGGAUGGAUUUGAGUAAGAGCAUAACUGUUCGGACCCGAAAGAUGGUGAACUAUGCGUGGAUAGGGUGAAGCCAGAGGAAACUCUGGUGGAGGCUCGCAGCGGUUCUGACGUGCAAAUCGAUCGUCAAAUCUGCGCAUGGGGCGAAAGACUAUC